GCCUGCCCUGUGACUGUAAGUUUAACGGCCGCGGUAUUAUGACCGUGCAAAGGUAGCGUAAUCACUUGUCUCUUAAAUGGGGACCUGUAUGAAUGGCAUAACGAGGGCUUGACUGUCUCCUUUUUCAAGUCAAUGAAAUUGAUCUCCCCGUGCAGAAGCGGGGAUAACUACAUAAGACGAGAAGACCCUGUGGAGCUUUAGACACCAAGGCAGAUCAUGGUAAACACCCCCAAAUAAGGGACCAAACUAAAUGAACCCUACCCCUAUGUCUUUGGUUGGGGCGACCAUGGGGUAAAACAUAACCCCCACGCGGAAAGGGAGCACCUCCUCCUACAGCUAAGAGCCUCCGCUCCAAUAAACAGAAUUUCUGACCACAUAGAUCCGGUAAAACCGAUCAACGGACCAAGUUACCCCAGGGAUAACAGCGCAAUCCUCUUUUAGAGCCCAUAUCGACAAGGGGGUUUACGACCUCGAUGUUGGAUCAGGACAUCCUAAUGGUGCAGCCGCUAUUAAGGGUUCGUUUGUUCAACGAUUAAAGUCCUACGUGAU
rnacentral:rRNA from 1 species